rnacentral:rRNA from 1 species
UCAGACGAUGCGUCAUGCAUAUCAAUAAGCGGAGGAAAAGAAACUAACAAGGAUUCCCUUAGUAACGGCGAGUGAAGCGGGAAGAGCUCAAAUUUGAAAUCUUCAAGGUUUUACCUUGACGAAUUGUAGUUUAAAGAAGUGUUUUCUGCUGAAGUUUUGGUAAAAGUUCUUUGGAAUAGGACAUCAUAGAGGGUGAGAAUCCCGUAUUUGACCAUUAUUUUCAGCUGUGUGAUACACUUUCAAAGAGUCGGAUUGUUUGGGAAUGCAGUCCAAAAUGGGUGGUAAAUUUCAUCUAAAGCUAAAUAUUGGCGAGAGACCGAUAGCGAACAAGUACCGUGAGGGAAAGAUGAAAAGAACUUUGAAAAGAGAGUUAAACAGUACGUGAAAUUGUCAAAAGGGAAGCGUUUGACACCAGUGUUGUUUUCUCGAAAAUCAAUUAAAAAGAGUUAGAUUUUGUUGUGUAUUGACCUUAACAGCUUGCAUUUCAAUUUUCUUGCUUUUUUUAAUGCACUUUUCGUUUAACAAGUCAACAUCAGUUUCUUUUGUUGUAAAAAGGUCAUUGGAAGGUGGCUUUCUUUUCGGAGAAAGUGUUUAUAGCCUUUGACUCCUGCAAUCGGAGAGACUGAGGUCUGCAGCGUAGAUCCUUCGGGGUUAGAUACAUUUGUGCUAAGUUAUAGCUUUUUAUAGACAACUUGUUGACUAUGAUUAGUCUUGUAGCUUACUCGCUUAUGCUAUUUUACCUACGCUUAGGAUGUUGAGUCGUAGAGCACGCAG